rnacentral:rRNA from 1 species
AGAUUGAACGCUGGCGGCAUGCCUAACACAUGCAAGUCGAACGGGAGUAGCAAUACUCUAGUGGCGGACGGGUGAGGAAUACGUAGGAAUUUGCCCUUAAGUGGGGGAUAACCCGGGGAAACCCGGAUUAAUACCGCAUGACCUCGAAAGAGCAAAGUGGGGGAUCGCAAGACCUCACGCCUUUUGGAGAAGCCUACGUCGGAUUAGCUAGUUGGUGAGGUAAUGGCUCACCAAGGCGACGAUCCGUAACUGGUCUGAGAGGAUGAUCAGUCACACCGGAACUGAGACACGGUCCGGACUCCUACGGGAGGCAGCAGUGGGGAAUAUUGGACAAUGGGCGCAAGCCUGAUCCAGCAAUGCCGCGUGUGUGAAG